rnacentral:rRNA from 1 species
AUUGAACGCUGGCGGCAGGCCUAACACAUGCAAGUCGAGCGAGCGGCGGACGGGUGAGUAAUGUAUGGGGACUGCCCGAUAGAGGGGGAUAACUACUGGAAACGGUAGCUAAUACCGCAUACUAUCGGAUAACCCAUAUGGGAUUAGCUAGUAGGUGAGGUAAUGGCUCACCUAGUCGACGAUCCCUCGCUGGUCUGAGAGGAUGAUCAGCCACACUGUGACUGAGACACGGCCCAGACUCCUACGGAGGCAGCAGUGGGGAAUAUUGCACCAUGGGGGCAAGCCUGAUGCAGCUAUGCCGCGUGUAUGAAUAAGGCCCUCGUGUUGUAAAGUACUUUCAGUCGGGCGGCGUUCCCGACAGAAGAAGCCCCGGCUAACUCCGUGCCAGCAGCCGCGGUAAUUC